UGGGACAGCAGCUCUCCUAAUAUAGAUGAUACUCUGAUAUUUAAUGACGUUUACUAUGAGAUAACUUUGCUUUGGUAAAACUGAGUUUUAUACAUGCUGUUUAAUAAAGACACGGAGUAAAUAAGGUUAAACUAAUAAAGAUGAUUAUAUUUUACACAUAAACAUUUCAGAUUAAACUAGGUCAACGGUCAAAUUGAAUACACUCUUAGUAUACUCAGUGCAUGACUGUCAUGGUUCACUGUGUGGCAGACAGGGUUGGACUCAAACACAGGACUCGGAAACCCAGACAUAAAACACAAAAGUAGCUUCAUUGCUGAAAUUAUAACACAAGGCAGGAGCCUCUCCAACGAGAGAAACAUAACUUGGAGACACACAAGGAUGAAACACAGAGCAUGAGGAACAAUGCAACAAAGAACAAAGAGAGACUCACACAAAAUAUUCCCAUUAGGUAGUUUGGAAGAUGGGAAAUGCCAGGGAACAAGACAAGGGGACGCAAAUCUAAA